ensembl:lncRNA
GGGACAUGAUGGAAGGCCUGGAGUUUGCAAAAAGUCAUAUGAAAGAUGGAGCAUAAGGCAAAAAUAUUAUGUUGUCUGAUGAGAAACAAAUUGGCCUGAAUGCAAAGCGCUAUGUCUAGAGAGAAACAGGCACAGCUAAUCACCCAUCUAACACCAUCCCUACUGUAUAGCGGUGGUGGCAGCAUCUUGCUAUAGGGAUACUUUUCAGUGGCAGGGAUUGAGAGACUGGUAAGGAUACCGCGAACAAUGAAUGGUGUCAAAUCCCUGAUGAGAACCUGCUUCAGAGUGCAAAUGACCUUGGACUGGGGUGAAGAUUUACAUUCCAACAGGACAAUGACCCCUGGAAUGACUGGAAUGACUUCAGAAUAAGAGUUUGAAAGUCCUUGAGUGGCUCAACCAAAGCCCAUUGAAAAUCUAUGGAGAGACUUGAAGAUUGCUGUUCACCGCCACUUCCCAUUUAACUUAACAGAGCUUGAGAAAAUCUGCAAGGAAGAAUGGGAGGAAAUCCCCAAAUCCAGAUGUGCAAAGCUGAUGCAGGACGUACCCAAGACGACACAAAGCUGUAAUCGCCACCAAAGGUGUUUUUGACUCGGGUGUGAAUACUUAUGUAAAUUAUAUGUAUUUAUGAUUCAAUACAUUUGCAAAAAUAAAUGUUUUCACUUUGACAUUAUGGGGUAUUUUGUGUAGGAAAAUUUAAUUUUGGGGCUUUAACCCAACAAAAUGUGGGAUAGGUUGAGGGGAAUGAAUACUUUCUGACAGCACUGUAUAGCUGUGAACAAAUUGCUCUAAACAUUCCAGGAGCACUCUAUCUCAUCGUUCUCUACCUUCUCACCUGUUGCUAAGUCCUCCAAAACAUCAGAAGACAAUAAUAUUGGCAAUUUCCUGAUUUCGGUUGUCUGACAGUAUUGAGUGAAUGCUUUUGUUUGUUGACCACAGUUACUGUCAGUUUUUGUGUCCGAUUUACUCAAAUGGUAAGAAAACAUGGUUUACUUUAGUUCUCACAAUCUUUUCAAUUGAAUAAAAUUACAUUUGUCAAAUUGAAAUGUCAAUAUCAGCACUAACUGUCAUUGAUCACAAGAAUCUUGUUUGAUUUUAUUUUGAGAGUUUACUGGCUGCCAUAUCUUUACCAGUUUCUGCAACUGUCUUUUUAUAUAUUAGGAUAAACAUUUCUGUAAAGUAGAUUUUGUAGAUUGUAAUAUGUGUUCACUGCCUUUGUGAAACCGAUUGACAUCUCUGUAAAUUGAAUGAUUGGCUUUCAGCACAGUAUUCAUAUGAAGCAAUAAAUGCUAACAUUUUAAGUGUGGGGUUUGCUUAAUUUGUAUC